ensembl:rRNA 5S_rRNA 5S ribosomal RNA
GUCUAUGGCUGUAUCACCCUGAACACGCCUGAUCUCGUCUGAUCUUGGAAGCUAAGCAGAGUCAGGCCUGGUUAGUACUUGGAUGGGAGAAGCAGAAUAGUCCCUGUGAGAUAUAGAGA